AUCGCGCCCGGCCGAGAGGUACCUUUUAUGACAACUGAAAUCAUUCAGUUUCAAGAGGAGUUGGGUACUGAAACCAAACUUGCUUACUCCAAAGCCCAAAAUCCUUUCCACCAUGCCUGUGUGUCUGUAAGGCUACACUAGAAAUGCUUCCUUUCUUAUAGUGGGAAGCAUGGGUACUAAGCUCUUUUACGAACAAGUGUUCUGCAUAUUCCUGGUUCCUUUUUAUUUUGGACUGAGGAGAUUUAGGUCAAAAUUUCUGGGUUCUGGGUUGGAAUUCCAGCUUCUUUCUUCAAAUUAGACUUAUUCCUCGAUUUGUUAGAAGGCCACAGCUUUUCCACAUCUCAUUUUAGCCAUGAAAAAGACACAUGCCCAGAGUUUGAAAAACAUAAAGGCAAUUUGACUAGUGGCUUGAUUGGUUCUAUCUUCUUUUUCUUGUCCCUCCUUCCUAUUUAUACUUCUACUUUUGUUACAGCAUUUGACAAUAGUUGGAAAAAUUUUCACUGACCUUGAAAUGUCUUUGGGAUAGGGUGACUUAAAAUAUAGGUUAAGUGGCAUACACAAACUUCUUAGUGAGAUCCUAAGGGCCUACAGAGACAGGCUGACACCAACUCAACCCUUGAAACUGUGCAAUGAAGAGCCUGUGGGAGGCUAAAAAACGCUACUUCAAAAAGAGAUCCUUGUCUGUGAAUGUUAAUUUAGGUUAAUUUACAGAUUUGAUUAAGGGUCUUGAGAUUAUUUUCAAUUAUCCAGGUGGGCCCUAGGGCCCUAGAUGCAAUCACAAGUGUCCUUAUAACAGGGAGGCAGAGGAAAAUUAAACACACACACAGGGGAGAGAGAGAGAGAGAGAAAAGUGAUGUGAAGACAGCAGCAGAGAUUGGAGCGAUGUGGCCAUAGCCAAGCUAUGUCAGCAGCCAUCAGAAGUUGGAAGAGGCAAGGAAGGAUUUGAGCCUAGAGCCUUUAGAAGGAGCAUGGCCCUGUUGGUUCUGGCCUCCAGAACUGCAAGAAAAUACAUUUUUGUUGUUUUAAACCACCCAGUUCAUGGUAAUUUGUAACACCAGCUACAAGAAAUUAACACAAGGCUGAUGUGACUUUCCAUCAGGAGAGAGACAGCCCCAGGUGAGACCUGCCUGCCUCAUUGUCUGACAGCUUUCCCAGCCUCCUCCAGGCUCCCCUCCGUUUUCUCUUAUAUGCAUUCCCCCAAUAAACUUCCUGCACAUUUAAUACCAUCUCAGUGUCUGCUCCCAGGAGGACCCCAACUGACACACUGGGGCAUUUAGCCUCCAAUUCCUUUUCUCCCUUGGCUGAGAUCUGUUCCAGGAAGUAUCUCCAGGACACUCCAGCCUGUUGCACAGGCCAAAGAAAAGCCCUCAGGCAGAGGAGCAAGUACUUGCAAGAGGACACCAGUGGCAAGAACAGGGACAUGCCACCCUGUGAAGACAUGCCUUUCGUCAAGACUGUAAGUUUCCUGAGGCCUUCCCACCCAUGCGGAACUGUGAGUCA